AGUGGCAGACGGGUGAGUAACAUGUAGGUAUCUGCCCUUUGGCCUGGAAUAACACGAGGAAACUUGUGCUAAUACCGGAUAAGUCUUUACGGAGAAAGCUUUAUGCACCAUUGGAUGAGCCUGCACUUGAUUAGUUUGUUGGUGGGGUAAUGGCCUACCAAGACUGUGAUCAAUAGCUGAUUUGAGAGGAUGAUCAGCCACAUUGGGACUGAGACACGGCCCAAACUCCUACGGGAGGCAGCAGUGGGGAAUCUUGCACAAUGGAGGAAACUCUGAUGCAGCGAUGCCGCGUGAGUGAAGAAGGCCUUUGGGUUGUAAAGCUCUUUCGUCGGGGAAGAAAAUGACUGUACCCGAAUAAGAAGGUCCGGCUAACUUCGUGCCAGCAGCCGCGGUAAUACGAAGGGACCUAGCGUAGUUCGGAAUUACUGGGCUUAAAGAGUUCGUAGGUGGUUGAAAAAGUUGGUGGUGAAAUCCCAGAGCUUAACUCUGGAACUGCCAUCAAAACUUUUCAGCUAGAGUAUGAUAGAGGAAAGCGGAAUUUCUAGUGUAGAGGUGAAAUUCGUAGAUAUUAGAAAGAAUACCAAUUGCGAAGGCAGCUUUCUGGAUCAUUACUGACACUGAGGAACGAAAGCAUGGGUAGCGAAGAGGAUUAGAUACCCUCGUAGUCCAUGCCGUAAACGAUGUAUGUUAGACGUUGGAAAUUUAUUUUCAGUGUCGCAGCGAAAGCGAUAACC
rnacentral:rRNA from 1 species